GGGGAACUGAAACAUCUAAGUACCCCGAGGAAAAGAAAUCAACCGAGAUUCCCCCAGUAGCGGCGAGCGAACGGGGAGGAGCCCAGAGCCUGAAUCAGCAUGUGUGUUAGUGGAAGCGUCUGGAAAGACGCGCGAUACAGGGUGACAGCCCCGUACACAAAAGCGCAUGUGCUGUGAGCUCGAUGAGUAGGGCGGGACACGUGGUAUCCUGUCUGAAUAUGGGGGGACCAUCCUCCAAGGCUAAAUACUCCUGACUGACCGAUAGUGAACCAGUACCGUGAGGGAAAGGCGAAAAGAACCCCGGCGAGGGGAGUGAAAAAGAACCUGAAACCGUGUACGUACAAGCAGUGGGAGCCCCACCACUAAGCCAGUGGUGAACUCCACAUACGCAUCCUUUGCUGAAGGCAAUGGUUAACGGAGCGAAAGCGACGUUCAACCGCAAAACAAGCAGAGGGGGCUUAGUGGUGGGGUGACUGCGUACCUUUUGUAUAAUGGGUCAGCGACUUAUAUUCUGUAGCAAGGUUAACCGUAUAGGGGAGCCGGAGGGAAACCGAGUCUUAAUUGGGCGUUAAGUUGCAGGGUAUAGACCCGAAACCCGGUGAUCUAGCCAUGGGCAGGUUGAAGGUUGGGUAACACUAACUGGAGGACCGAACCGACUAAUGUUGAAAAAUUAGCGGAUGACCUGUGGCUGGGGGUGAAAGGCCAAUCAAACCGGGAGAUAGCUGGUUCUCCCCGAAAGCUAUUUAGGUAGCGCCUCGUGAAUUCAUCUCCGGGGGUAGAGCACUGUUUCGGCUAGGGGGCCAUCCCGGCUUACCAACCCGAUGCAAACUGCGAAUACCGGAGAAUGUUAUCACGGGAGACACACGGCGGGUGCUAACGUCCGUCGUGAAGAGGGAAACAACCCAGACCGCCAGCUAAGGUCCCAAAGUCAUGGUUAAGUGGGAAACGAUGUGGGAAGGCCCAGACAGCCAGGAUGUUGGCUUAGAAGCAGCCAUCAUUUAAAGAAAGCGUAAUAGCUCACUGGUCGAGUCGGCCUGCGCGGAAGAUGUAACGGGGCUAAACCAUGCACCGAAGCUGCGGCAGCGACGCUUAUGCGUUGUUGGGUAGGGGAGCGUUCUGUAAGCCUGCGAAGGUGGCCUGUGAGGGUUGCUGGAGGUAUCAGAAGUGCGAAUGCUGACAUAAGUAACGAUAAAGCGGGUGAAAAGCCCGCUCGCCGGAAGACCAAGGGUUCCUGUCCAACGUUAAUCGGGGCAGGGUGAGUCGACCCCUAAGGC
rnacentral:rRNA from 1 species